GCGUGAGUGAUGAAGGCCUUAGGGUUGUAAAGCUCUUUCGGCGGGGACGAUGAUGACGGUACCCGCAGAAGAAGCCCCGGCUAACUUCGUGCCAGCAGCCGCGGUAAUACGAAGGGGGCGAGCGUUGUUCGGAAUUACUGGGCGUAAAGGGCGCGCAGGCGGCCCUAGAAGUCAGGCGUGAAAGCCCCGGGCUCAACCUGGGAAUAGCGCUUGAUACUCUGGGGCUGGAGUGCGGGAGAGGAGAGUGGAAUUCCCAGUGUAGAGGUGAAAUUCGU
rnacentral:rRNA from 1 species